GAUGAACGCUGGCGGCGUGCCUAAUACAUGCAAGUCGAGCGAACAGACGAGGAGCUUGCUCCUCUGACGUUAGCGGCGGACGGGUGAGUAACACGUGGAUAACCUACCUAUCUGACUGGGAUAACUUCGGGAAACCGGAGCUAAUACCGGAUAAUAUAUUGAACCGCAUGGUUCAAUAGUGAAAGACGGUUUUGCUGUCACUUAUAGAUGGAUCCGCGCCGCAUUAGCUAGUUGGUAGGGUAACGGCUUACCAAGGCAACGAUGCGUAGCCGAGCGGAGAGAGUGAUAGGCCACACGGGAGCUGAGACACGGUCCAGACUCCUACGGGAGGCAGCAGUAGGGAAUCUGCCGCAAUGGGCGAAAGCAUGACGGAGCAACGCCGCGUGAGUGAUGAAGGUCUUCGGAUCGGAAAACUCUGUUAUUAGGGAAGAACAAAUGUGUAAGUAACUAUACACGUCUUGACGGUACCUAAUCAGAAAGCCACGGCUAACUACGUG
rnacentral:rRNA from 1 species